rnacentral:lncRNA from 1 species
UAUAACCUUCCCCUAUUAAUCUCAGCCGUCCAUCACGAUUUAAUCUGCACCGUCCGAUCGCGAUUAAAAUUGGAACAACUCUGGGCCGUCCAUCGCGAUGCGAUCUGGGCUAUCUGUGCGUGAUUCAAUCUGGGCCAUCCGCACGCGUGAGAUCUGGGCUGUCCGUGCGCGUGAGAUCUGGGCCGUCCGCACGCGUAAGAUCUGGACCGUUCGAUCACGUGCACGCGGAUCGCUCAUGUGGCUCCGUCCCGCGUGGCCUCCCGCGUCAGCUUCUUUGCCAUACGGCGUGUUCUGGUUGGCCGGGGCUGCUGACGUG